UAAAAGAAUAUAUAAUAUCUUAUAUUAUACCAGGGAGAACUCAAACUUUAGAUCGCUAUGGUGUCAUGCAAGCGCUUUCUUCUUCUUGCUUCUUUUGUCUUGCUUUGCUUCGUAUCUCCCAGUGCUGCUAGAGCGCUGAGUUUGCAUGGCGAUGGUGAGAAAGGCAUGGACUAUAAGUUUAGUCCGAACCAAGAUGGUACUGCUGCUGGUGAUGACAGUGACGAAUUAGUGGCUAUGGAUUACACUCCGGCGAAAAAGAAUACUCCGAUUCAUAACUAAGAUCCAUAAGUUUUGUUGCGAAAUUAAACAUUGCUUCAGCUUCCUCUGUGUUCCAACUUUUACAGUUUGAUAUUGAUAUUGGAAACA